rnacentral:rRNA from 1 species
CGGACGGGUGAGUAAUGUAUGGGGAUCUGCCUGAUGGGGGGGGAUAACUACUGGAAACGGUAGCUAAUACCGCAUAAUGUCUACGGACCAAAGCGGGGGACCUCCGGGCCUCGCGCCAUCAGAUGAACCCAUAUGGGAUUAGCUUGUAGGUAAGGUAACGGCUUACCUAGGCGACGAUCCCUAGCUGGUCUGAGAGGAUGAUCAGCCACACUGGGACUGAGACACGGCCCAG